rnacentral:rRNA from 1 species
GACGAACGCUGGCGGCGUGCUUAACACAUGCAAGUCGAACGGGCCCGCCCCUGUUUUUGGGGGUGGGUUGAGUGGCGAACGGGUGAGUAUCACGUGAGUAACCUGCCCCCUGCUCCUGGAUAACUGCUUGAAAGGGCGGCUAAUACGGGGUGUGCCGGCUGGUCCGCAUGGGCCUGGUCGGGAUAGUUUCAUCUUCGGGUGUUUCGGUGGGGGAUGGGCUCGCGGCCUAUCAGCUUGUUGGUGGGGUGAUGGCCCACCAAGGCGGUGACGGGUAGCCGGCCUGAGAGGGUGGGCGGCCACAGUGGGACUGAGACACGGCCCAGACUCCGGCGGGAGGCAGCAGUGGGGGGUAUUGCACAAUGGGCGGAAGCCUGAUGCAGCGACGUCGCGUGAGGGAUGGAGGCCUUCGGGUUGUGAACCUCUUUCUCCGGUGGUGAAGGCCCUGUCCGUUGCGGCGGGGUUGACGGUAGCCGGGUAUGAAGCGCCGGCUAACUACGUG